AAAGGAAUAGACGGGGACCCGCACAAGCGGUGGAGCAUGUGGUUUAAUUCGAAGCAACGCGAAGAACCUUACCUAGUCUUGACAUCCUUCUGACCGGACAGUAAUGUGUCCUUCCCUUCGGGGCAGGAGAGACAGGUGGUGCAUGGUUGUCGUCAGCUCGUGUCGUGAGAUGUUGGGUUAAGUCCCGCAACGAGCGCAACCCUUAUCUUUAGUAGCCAGCACGUAAGGUGGGCACUCUAGAGAGACUGCCAGGGAUAACCUGGAGGAAGGUGGGGAUGACGUCAAAUCAUCAUGCCCCUUAUGACUAGGGCUACACACGUGCUACAAUGGCGUAAACAAAGAGAAGCGAAGCCGUGAGGUGAAGCAAAUCUCAAAAAUAACGUCUCAGUUCGGAUUGUAGUCUGCAACUCGACUACAUGAAGCUGGAAUCGCUAGUAAUCGCGAAUCAGAAUGUCGCGGUGAAUACGUUCCCGGGUCUUGCACACACCGCCCGU
rnacentral:rRNA from 1 species